rnacentral:lncRNA from 1 species
UUAACUUCCAUAUUUUAAAUUAUAAAAAUAAACUGGGAAACUAAAGCAAAUGUGCAUCCUUGCGGGACUCCAAGCCUGGGCACUGGCCGCCUGCGUGCACUCCUCUAAGUGUGCAUAACACGCCCGCAGGGGUUGCCAGCAGGAAGCCUGCGUUAACUUUAUCUCGUGGUGGGGAAGGUGGAGCCCACGCCCACACCUAGCAAGCUGGAGAGGGAGGUUUCGUGAGGAAAUAAAUAUGGGGCACGGAAACACAGUCUUCCGCAUGGAGUCCCCAGAGGCAGUGCAUUUUAAACCCUAAAUGUGGAUUACUGAGUGUCCGAGUGGAGUUUAAAUUCCGUUUGAAGAAACUGGAUAAGGAGUGUUUGUGUGGGUGUUUGUGCGCACGGCUAUAUGGGAGCAGGCACAGGAUCUCAGUGUUGGGGGUGUCCCUAGUGUGCGAUGUCCUCCUCUCGCCACAUUAGGAGAACUCCUUUAGCUCCCCCAAACUGGCCCCCGUAACUACCCUGCCUCGGUUCGUAAGGGGUUAACCAAAACCGAUUCCGAGGACAGACAACCCGCCCCCACAGUCACCCCCACCCACACUCGCUUCCGACCCUGGCCAAGCCCCCAAAUCUUCCCCGGGGACCCCCCACCCCGCAGCCCACCCACCGGAGCGCACAGCUCCUCACCUGAAGGGCCGGGCCACGUCCGGCCUCCCGAAGAGGCUGCGUGCGUCAGGCGGACCACCGCACGUGUCCUCGGCGGCGCGGAGCAGUUUCCAGUUCACAUCACUGCAACACCAAGUCCAAUGGAAGAGGGAAAAUCCACUUCUCCAACAGCCCUGCAAGCUAUUUGGCAUAUGAAGGUCUUGACCUGAGAAAACCAUCUUGGAUAACCGUGGCAAGGAGAAGGAAAAAUGCAACACCUAGGAGAUUUCAGUAAACAGUAGAAUCAUGCCAACCUAAUCUGUGUUAAAAUGCUUGGAAUGUGGGAGCCGCUGAUGAUGCCUGUUGUCUGUGUGUCUGACUGAAUCCUUUCUUUACUCAGAGCAGCAAAGCAAAGCCUGGGAACCAGGCCAAAUGCCUGCCACUUACCUUAAAUUGAUCAGCCACUUUGAGAUUAAAACUCCUGAAAGCUGCCACACCGUGAAAACAAGGCCCCCUUCACAUUAAAGGCAAAUUGCGACUUUGA